rnacentral:lncRNA from 1 species
AAACUUCAAAAUCUAUGUUGACAAACGGAUCCCGUCCAGCUCACAUAUACGGAUUGUCACUUAAUUCUCAACCAGUUCACACCAUCUACCUGUGCGAUACAUUCCAGGUUGGCAAGUCAAGUUAUAUAUACGUAUAUAUGUGAAAAAAAGCCUAUAACCUUCUCUCAAGAUCUCGUUCUGUCACGGUCCUCCGUCCCUGAGCCAAUCCCUCCCGUAGAGAAGCUCAAAACCUCCAAAAACAAACAAGAAAAAACAGUCAAUAAAAUGCCAAACGGGCCUCUCCUUAGACAAGCUGCAAAACAAGAAAAUAUGAAAAGAGUAAGUUAUGAAUACAUAAAAAUGAUAGCAUGGUACUACAACAAAAAUUCCAAG